GUGCUUGCACGUGGAUUAGUGGCGAACGGGUGAGUAAUACGUGAGUGACCUACCUUUGACUCUGGGAUAAGCCUGGGAAACUGGGUCUAAUACCGGAUACGACCAAUCUCUGCAUGGGGUGUUGGUGGAAAGCGUUAUGGAGUGGUUUUAGAUGGGCUCACGGCCUAUCAGCUUGUUGGUGAGGUAAUGGCUUACCAAGGCGACGACGGGUAGCCGGCCUGAGAGGGUGACCGGCCACACUGGGACUGAGACACGGCCCAGACUCCUACGGGAGGCAGCAGUGGGGAAUAUUGCACAAUGGGCGCAAGCUGAUGCAGCGACGCCGCGUGAGGGAUGACGGCCUUCGGGUUGUAAACCUCUGUUAGCAUCGAAGAAGCGAAAGUGACGGUAGGUGCAGAGAAAGCGCCGGCUAACUACGUGCCAGCAGCCGCGGUAAUACGUAGGGCGCGAGCGUUGUCCGGAAUUAUUGGGCGUAAAGAGCUUGUAGGCGGUUGGUCGCGUCUGCUGUGAAAGGCCGGGGCUUAACUCCGGUUUUGCAGUGGGUACGGGCUAACUAGAGUGCAGUAGGGGAGACUGGAAUUCCUGGUGUAGCGGUGGAAUGCACAGAUAUCAGGAGGAACACCGAUGGCGAAGGCAGGUCUCUGGGCUGUAACUGACGCUGAGAAGCGAAAGCAUGGGGAGCGAACAGGAUUAGAUACCCUGGUAGUCCAUGCCGUAAACGUUGGGCACUAGGUGUGGGGGACAUUCCACGUUUUCCGCGCCGUAGCUAACGCAUUAAGUGCCCCGCCUGGGGAGUACGGCCGCAAGGCUAAAACUCAAAGGAAUUGACGGGGGCCCGCACAAGCGGCGGAGCAUGCGGAUUAAUUCGAUGCAACGCGAAGAACCUUACCAAGGCUUGACAUGCAUUAGAUCGCGUCAGAGAUGGCGUUUUCCUUCGGGGCUGGUGUACAGGUGGUGCAUGGUUGUCGUCAGCUCGUGUCGUGAGAUGUUGGGUUAAGUCCCGCAACGAGCGCAACCCUCGUUCUAUGUUGCCAGCGGUUCGGCCGGGGACUCAUAGGAGACUGCCGGGGUCAACUCGGAGGAAGGUGGGGAUGACGUCAAAUCAUC
rnacentral:rRNA from 1 species